UUAAUGAAAACUUGUUCUGAUUGUAACAUUUGAGUGUUCGCGGAAGGUGAGUAUACGUGGGUAACCUGCCCUACCUGGGGGAUAACAUUUGGAAACAGAUGCUAAUACCGCAGAAAACCUAUCACCGCAUGGUGCAAGGUUGAAAGAUGGUUUCUGCUAUCACUUUAUGAUGGACCCGCGGUGCUUUAGUUAAUUGGUGAGGUAAAGGAUCACCAAUACCGUGAUGCAUAGCCGACCUGACAGGGUCAUCGGCCACACUGGGACUGAUACACGGCCCAGACUCCUACGGGAGGCAGCAGUAGGGAAUCUUCCACAAUGGACGAAAGUCUGAUGGAGCAACGCCGCGUGAGUGAAGAAGGUUUUCUGAUCGAAAAAUUCUAUUGUUGGAAAAGAACUUUUAUUGAAAUAAUUGAUCAGGUUAGUGACGAGUAUCCAACCAAAAAGCCACGUCAAACUACAUCCCACCACCCGCGGUAAUAUCUAGGUGGCAAGCGUUGUCCGGAAUUAUUGAGCCAUAAACCAAGCCCUACUGUCUCUCUU
rnacentral:rRNA from 1 species